rnacentral:tRNA from 1 species
GGAGGGAUGCGCCGAACUUGGUAAGGCGCCCGACUGCUAAUCGGGUUGUCCGGGAGAACCGGGCUUGGGGGUUCGAGUCCCCCUCCCUUCGCCA